rnacentral:rRNA from 1 species
UACGGAGGGAGCUAGCGUUGUUCGGAAUUACUGGGCGUAAAGCGCGCGUAGGCGGCUUUGUAAGUUAGAGGUGAAAGCCCGGAGCUCAACUCCGGAACUGCCUUUAAAACUGCAUCGCUUGAAUCCAGGAGAGGUGAGUGGAAUUCCGAGUGUAGAGGUGAAAUUCGUAGAUAUUCGGAAGAACACCAGUGGCGAAGGCGGCUCACUGGUCCGGUUCUGACGCUGAGGCGCGAAAGCGUGGGGAGCAAACAGG